CAAAUUUUUCCUGUCAAUUGGGGAGGGAGGAAAUCCAGACCUAGUAAUUAUAUGAUAAUUAAACAACAAUCUACAGCUAUAAGAAAAGAUCUGGGAUUUGUCCAACAGAUUCUGCUAGUGUGAGGCACCAGCACAAGAUUUGGUGGGAAGGAGGAGAGAGAAGCCAUGUCACCAUGCUUGUAGUGCUCUCGAGGCAUUUGCCUGACAAUCAUCUGCUUUCUGAGGCUUAGCCUUAAUCUUCACCAGUAUUUAUGGCAUUUGAAUGGAAUCCCAGCAUAUGCAAAGUUCCC